AUUGAACGCUGGCGGCAGGCCUAACACAUGCAAGUCGAGCGGAUGAAGGGAGCUUGCUCCUGGAUUCAGCGGCGGACGGGUGAGUAAUGCCUAGGAAUCUGCCUGGUAGUGGGGGAUAACGUCCGGAAACGGGCGCUAAUACCGCAUACGUCCUGAGGGAGAAAGUGGGGGAUCUUCGGACCUCACGCUAUCAGAUGAGCCUAGGUCGGAUUAGCUAGUUGGUGGGGUAAAGGCCUACCAAGGCGACGAUCCGUAACUGGUCUGAGAGGAUGAUCAGUCACCCUGGAACUGAGACACGGUCCAGACUCCUCCGGGAGGCAGCAGUGGGAAAUAUUGGACAAUGGGCGAAAGCCUGAUCCAGCCAUGCCGCGUGUGUGAAGAAGGUCUUCGGAUUGUAAAGCACUUUAAGUUGGGAGGAAGAGCAGUAAGUUAAUACCUUGCUGUUUUGACGUUACCAACAGAAUAAGCACCGGCUAACUUCGU
rnacentral:rRNA from 1 species